rnacentral:lncRNA from 1 species
UUAUUUAAUUUAGGGAUUUUGAUGCCAUCCUCAAUGGUUUUUACGGUUCCUCCACUUUUAAAGAGGAUGUCGGGCUACAAGGGAAGAGGAAGAAAAUUCAUAGCUAGGGUACACUAAGAGGAAGUUUAUGUGCAAUUUCUCAAUCAGAUUAAUUAGCUAGCGAGGGAAUUGGGAGCAGAAUAAGGGAGGAAUCCGUCAAUCAGAUUAACACUGUCACUGAGAACAAAGUUAAAUUUGACUCUCACUACUUGAGUAGAAUUUAUCUUUUAAAUUCUUUGAGAUAUUUUUGGG